AUGGGCAAGUGGGACAAAUGGGUAGCCUAUAUGAACCCAACAGCAAUGGCGAGAUCAAGGGGUCCAAUCCAGUCUUCAGGGCCAAAAAUACAGGAUUAUCUGAAUCGAUCAAGGCCUACCUGGGAAGAAGUAAAAGAGCAACUAGAAAAGAAAAAGAAAGGCUCCAAGAGUUUGGUUGAAUGUGAAGAAAAAAUGAAUGAGAACUGGAAGAAAGAACUAGAAAAACACAGGGGGAAAUUGUUAAGUGCAAGUGAGAGCUCAUCCAAAAAAAGACAGAGAAAGAAAAAAGAAGAAAUCUGGUAAGUAUUCAUCUUCUUCUUCAUCAAGCUCUGAUUCUUCCAGCAGUUCUUCUGAUUCUGAAGAUAAGGGUAAGAAACACGGAAAACUGAGAAAGAAAAAGAACCGUUCACAUAAAUCUUCUGAAAGGUCCAUGUCAGAAACUGAAUCAGACAGUAAGGAUAAUUUAAAAAAGAAAAAGAAGUCAAAAGAUGCAACUGAGAAAGAAAAGGACAUUAAAGGACUCAGAAAAAAGAGAAAGAUAUAUUCUGAAGAUAAACCUUUAUCAUCUGAGUCCUUGUCAGAAUCAGAGUAUAUGGAGGAGGUACGAGCAAAAAAGAGGAAAAGCAGUGAAGAACGAGAAAAAGCAACAGAAAAAAACAAAACAGAAAAAGAAGCAUGAGAAAAACAGUGGAAGAAGAAAAAGAAG
rnacentral:lncRNA from 10 species